GAUUAAGAACGCAGCGAAAUGCGAUAAGUAAUGUGAAUUGCAGAAUUCAGUGAAUCAUCGAAUCUUUGAACGCAUCUUGCGCUCCUUGGUAUUCUGAGGAGCAUGCCUGUUUGAGUGUCAUUAAAUUCUCAACUACACUGACUUUGAAUUGGUGUGGCUUGGAUUUGGGGGGAAAAUUGUUGUGGGCUUUUUGUAUAGUCUGCUCCCCUGAAAUUGAUUAGCGGUACCUUUGUGGAACUGUCUACAGGUGUGAUAAUUAUCUACAUCUUAGACAUCUGCUGGAAUGCUGCUUUCUAAACCUUACUUGUAUUGACAAUCUUGACCUCAAAUCAGGUAGGACUACCCGCUGAACUUAAGCAUAUCAAUAAGCGGAGGA
rnacentral:misc_RNA from 1 species